CCAAUAGCGUAUAUUAAAGUUGUUGCAGUUAAAAAGCUCGUAGUUGAAUUUCGGGAUCAGUUUGUCGGUCGUGCCUCGGUACGUACUGGCAUCAUUGGUUUCUCCCUUCUGAAGAACCGCGAUGUCAUUUAUUUGGUGUCGUGGGGAAUCAGGACUGUUACUUUGAAAAAAUUAGAGUGUUUAAAGCAGGCUCACGCUUGAAUACAUUAGCAUGGAAUAAUGAAAUAGGACGUUUGAUUCUAUUUUGUUGGUUUCUAGGAUCGACGUAAUGAUUAAUAGGGAUAGUUGGGGGCAUUAGUAUUCAAUUGUCAGAGGUGAAAUUCUUGGAUUUAUUGAAGACUAACUACUGCGAAAGCAUUUGCCAAGGAUGUUUUCAUUAAUCAAGAACGAAAGUUAGGGGAUCGAAGACGAUCAGAUACCGUCGUAGUCUUAACCAUAAACUAUGCCGACUAGGGAUCGGAUGAUGUUGAUUUUUUAAUGACUCAUUCGGCGCCUUACG
rnacentral:rRNA from 1 species